rnacentral:tRNA from 1 species
GCCGCCGAAGUUCAUCUAGUAGAAUACCUGGUUUGUCACCCAGGUGGUGCGGGUGCAAAUCCCGUCGGCGGCG